UACGAAGGGGGCUAGCGUUGCUCGGAAUCACUGGGCGUAAAGCGCACGUAGGCGGAUUGCUAAGUCAGGGGUGAAAUCCUGGAGCUCAACUCCAGAACUGCCUUUGAUACUGGCGACCUUGAGUCCGGGAGAGGUGAGUGGAACUGCGAGUGUAGAGGUGAAAUUCGUAGAUAUUCGCAAGAACACCAGUGGCGAAGGCGGCUCACUGGCCCGGUACUGACGCUGAGGCACGAAAGCGUGGGGAGCAAACAGG
rnacentral:rRNA from 1 species